rnacentral:rRNA from 1 species
AUUGAACGCUGGCGGCAGGCCUAACGCAUGCAAGUCGAACGGUAGCACAGAGAGCUUGCUCUCGGGUGACGAGUGGCGGACGGGUGAGUAACGUCUGGGAAACUGCCCGAUGGAGGGGGAUAACUACUGGAAACGGUAGCUAAUACCGCAUAACGUCACAAGACCAAAGUGGGGGACCUUCGGGCCUCACACCAUCGGAUGUGCCCAGAUGGGAUUAGCUAGUAGGUGGGGUAAUGGCUCACCUAGGCGACGAUCCCUAGCUGGUCUGAGAGGAUGACCAGCCACACUGGAACUGAGACACGGUCCAGACUCCUACGGGAGGCAGCAGUGGGGAAUAUUGCACAAUGGGCGCAAGCCUGAUGCAGCCAUGCCGCGUGUAUGAAGAAGGCCUUCGGGUUGUAAAGUACUUUCAGCGGGGAGGAAGGCGGUGAAGUUAACAGCUUCACCGAUUGACGUUACCCGCAGAAGAAGCACCGGCUAACUCCGUGCCAGCCGCCGCUGUAA